AAUAGGGUGUCUGAUUUAAGUAAUAAAUUGUAAAUUUAUUUAAGGGCUAGCUUCCUCCUAUUA
rnacentral:tRNA from 1 species